UCCACUACCAUAGACGUCCCUCCUCCAGCUCCCACAGAGUAGGAGUGUAUCUGGACUGGUCAGCCGGCACUCUGUCCUUCUAUAGAGCCUCCUCUGACACACUGACCCACCUGAUCACAUUCACCUCCACAUUCACUGAGCCCCUCUAUCCAGGGUUUGGGGUUGAUUAUGAAUCCUCAGUGUCCCUGAAAUAAUAACUGGACACACACACACACACACACACACACACACACACACACACACACACACACACACACACACACACACACACACACACACACACACACACUGGACACAGACACACACACACACACAAACUGGACACACGCACACACUGGACACAGACACACACACACACUGGACACAGACACACACACACACUGGACACACACACACACACACACAGGACACACACACACACACCAACACACUGGACACACACACACACACUGGACACACACACACACUGAACAUACACACAGGACACACACACACACACUGGAUAUACACACACUCAACACACACACACACACACUGGAAACAAAUUGGACACACACACACUGGACACAAAAUGCACACACACUCACAGACAUUCUGGACACACACACACACACACUGGACACAAACUGGACACACACAUAAACAUACACUCAACACACACACACACUGAACACACACACAAACACUGGGCACAUACUCACACACACACACACACACACACACUCUGGACAUACACACACACACUUGACACAGACACUGGACACACACACACAUUUUGGACACACACACUCACACACACACACACAGGACACACACACACACUGGACACACACACUGGACACACACACAUACACACACACACACACUGAACACACACACACUGAACACACACACACACUGAACACACACACACACACUGAACACACACACACACUGGGCACAUACUCACACACACUGGACACACACACACUCUGGACACACACACACACACUUGACACAGACACUGGACACACACACGCACUGGACAGGUCCCCCUCUCCAUGUAAUCUGAUUCAUUAUGAUAUAGGAUCAGGUCCCCCCUCUCCAUGUAAUCUGAUUCAUUAUGAUCUAGGAUCAGGUCCCCCCUCUCCAUGUAAUCUGAUUCAUUAUGAUCUAGGAUCAGGUCCCCCCUCUCCAUGUAAUCUGAUUCAUUAUGAUCUAGGAUCAGGUCCCCCCUCUCCAUGUAAUCUGAUUCAUUAUGAUCUAGGAUCAGGUCCCCCCUCUCCAUUUAAUCUGAUUCAUUAUGAUCUAGGAUCAGGUCCCUCCUCUCCAUGUAAUCUGAUUCAUUAUGGUCUAGGAUCAGGUCCCCCCUCUCCAUGUAAUCUGAUACACGUACAUACAUACAUACACACUGUAUAUAUACACGUACAUACAUACAUACACACUGUAUAUAUACACGUACAUACAUACAUACACACUGUAUAUAUAUACACGUACAUACACACUGUAUAUAUAUACACGUACAUACAUACAUACACACUGUAUAUAUAUACACGUACAUACAUACAUACACACUGUAUAUAUAUACACGUACAUACAUACAUACACACUGUAUAUAUAUACACAUACAUACAUACACACUGUAUAUAUAUACACAUACAUACAUACACACUGUAUAUAUAUACACAUACAUACAUACAUACACACUGUAUAUAUAUAUACACGUACAUACAUACAUACACACUGUAUAUAUAUACAUACACGUACAUACAUACAUACACACUGUAUAUAUAUACAUACACGUACAUACAUACAUACACGUACAUACAUACAUACACACUGUAUAUAUAUACAUACACGUACAUACAUACAUACACACUGUAUAUAUAUACAUACACGUACAUACAUACAUACAUACACACUGUAUAUAUAUACAUACGUGUACAUACAUACAUACAUACACACUGUAUAUAUAUACAUACAUACAUACACACUGUAUAUAUAUACAGAAAUCCACUGUUUAUUUGAGGUAAAAAGGGAUGACCAGAGAGUACCCAUGAAGUUGUACAACAUUUGACAAGACAGUCAAGACCUAAGCAGUGUGCCAGAUGACCUUUGGCCUCCAAUAUAGGCCCCUUUCUGUGUUUGCUAAAAUUGCAGCGAUGCACACGCAAUUUGGUUGUAGAAACUCCUCCAUUCUAAUGAGGAAACCACUAGUUAUGGAUGUAGUAUAUCUGCUAAUGAGGAAACCACUAGUUAUGGAUGUAGUAUAUCUGCUAAUGAGGAAACCACUAGUUAUGGAUGUAGUAUAUCUGCUAAUGAGGAAACCACUAGUUAUGGAUGUAGUAUAUUUGGUAAUGAGGAAACCACUAGUUAUGGAUGUAGUAUAUCUGGUAAUGAAGAAACCACUAGUUAUGGAUGUAGUAUAUCUGGUAAUGAGAAAACCACUAGUUAUGGAUGUAGUAUAUCUGGUCAUGAGGAAACCACUAGUUAUGGAUGUAGUAUAUCUGGUAAUGAGGAAACCACUAGUUAUGGAUGUAGGAUAUCUGGUAAUGAGGAAACCACUAGUUAUGGAUGUAGGAUAUCUGGUAAUGAGGAAACCACUAGUUAUGGAUGUAGUAUAUCUGCCUGGAGCAAAAAUGGUGAGCGAAGAUGAUCGUUUUUCACAAUGUAUUCUGAAUAUUACAGCGCACUAUCAGGACAAGAUCAGGAGUGCUACUCAAGUAAACUCACAUUAAGUUCUGUCUAUUCACUAAUUCAGCACUGUGGGGGAAAACUCAGGAGAGUUCUCAUAGGCUGACAGCAAAAAUAGCCUCCAUUUACAGGUUGCAUAUGAGUGCAUUUAACAUUACUUUUGGAUUAUAAUUGUAAAGCUCGUUUGAACCUCCUGCUUAAUAUGUUUGCGUUAUUGUCGCAAAUCAACUGCUUUACACUUAAAAAACACUUCAACCAGUAAAAUGCUCUUUGGCUAGCUUUAACAUCAGCCUGACAAUGAGGGUUUGUACACUAAGUGUUUAACAAAUUGGCCCAUAACUUCACCUAACAAUAACAUAGACCUACUGUAGGACCCAUAACUUUAUCUAACAACGACAUAGACGUAGGACUAUAAAUCAUUUAAUAUUUCAGGUGAAACAUGGACACUAAAAUGUCUGUCGUGACGUUUCAUAACCUGAUCACCAGAUAAUUUUGUGAAUAAUCCCACUAGGCUACUCUGUAAUGUGUUGUCAUUCUAAAUGUCCUGAAUAAAGGAAAAUAGCUCUGUGUGUUGAACAAUAGCCUAUCCAUCAAGGAACAGUUCUCUACACAUUAUGAGCAAAGUAGGGAUGUUGGAUCCAACGUGGAGUGUAUCUCUGUGCACAAACAGAGUAAUGAGACCCUACUGUAAAUCAGCCAGACAGUAACACAUUAUAAACAUCGAUUUGUUUGGGAUGUUGGAUCCAACGUGGAGCACGGCAUAACUGUCUUUACCAGAGUAAUGAAUGAAGAAGCACUUUGGUUGUUGUUGCAUGUCGUGAUGUUUGUCAUGUGACUGUCAUUCAGAAAAUGAUUUCGUGGAUCAGCUGAUGAUAGUUGAACAUGUGACUGUAAAUAAACAGCUACAGUAUUAAGAAUUAUGUGUAAUUAUUGAAGAACCACGUUAAUGACAGUAUCCAUUUGGGUGUUGUCA
rnacentral:lncRNA from 1 species